GUUUUUUAUUGUUUGUGCUGGUAUUGAUAAAUAAUCAGAUAUUACAUGCCAUUUUGUAUUAGUUUAAUUGAGAAGCCUGAGUCGAGCUUGGCCUAAAGUGGAAAUUUGUUGGCUCAAAGAAGCAACACACAACUGCAGUGAGGGAAGGAAUACAGCUGGGCCCAAAUUACCACCAGGAUUCUCUCGUCUUCCUCUGUUCUUAAAACUAGCUUAACUCUGUUUUCUCUGACUGCAGAUGGGUUCUUCCAGUGUGGCAAUCGGCAUGACACUAACAGCAGCAGGGUUUCCAGUUGUUUCACCUUCUCCAGCCGACAACUGUCACUUUUUCUGAAUUCCAAAAAAAUCCCAGUCAGGUAUUCACAGCUUCGUACGUUGGACACACUGGAAAACUGCCAAAUCUUCAGGAAGUUGCAAAGGAGACCAAUGAAAAGGAACAAAAGAUUAGGUAGGAGCUGGUGUAGCUACAGAUAGCACAAUGGUGAGCAUUCAUACUUCGUUAUUCAGGGAUCCUGCCAAUUGUCUUCCAGGGUCAGGGAAGAGUCUGUGUUCAACAAGUCAGGGCUCACAAUUGGCCAAGUGCAUUGCAGGAAUGGGUUCUGUCCUUUAGGGAUUGUGCCAGGGUUGAAUAUUUAAUGAUGGGGGUUUUCAUUAAAAAAUGGAUGCUUUUCUUAUGGUGAAAUGACUCUGAUUCUAGCCUCCUCUCCAAAGCAGUGGAAGGAAGCAUAAGAAUUGGAGAGUAGGAAGAAAACAAGAGUUUUCCACACUGUCCUUGUUACUGUUGAAGUAUACAUUGCUGAACAUUCUUAACAGACUUCAGAAGAUGAUUUGCACAGACUGACACCACUUUGAUAAAAUUUACACAUAAAUGAAGAAACCGUGCUAGGAACUGGGUUGGAGGAAGGGGCAGGGGCAAAGAGGAAAAUGCACAGAGAUGGGUAAGAGAGGAGUUUCGGUUCUCAGAUUCCACUCUCGACCAGACAGGGUAAAACAGAUACAUAACUGACUGUAAUGGACAGCAGAGUAAAUUGACAGGGGAAGAUUCAGAUACAUUCAUUGAGUUGCUACCAACCCAUUCAUAUUAUCUCCUUUAAUUUGCACAGUGGUCCUGUGAGGAAGAGAUUACGAUCAG
rnacentral:lncRNA from 1 species